rnacentral:rRNA from 1 species
UACGGGGGGGGCAAGCGUUGUUCGGAAUUACUGGGCGUAAAGGGCUUGUAGGUGGCCAACUAAGUCAGACGUGAAAUCCCUCGGCUUAACCGGGGAACUGCGUCUGAUACUGGAUGGCUAGAGUGUGGGAGAGGGAUGCGGAAUUCCAGGUGUAGCGGGUGAAAUGCGUAGAUAUCUGGAGGAACACCGGUGGCGAAGGCGGCAUCCUGGACCACGACUGACACUGAAAGCGAAAGCCAGGGGAGCAA